rnacentral:lncRNA from 1 species
CACAUGUAGAUGUAGGCCCAGAACAAAUAAAAAUUCAUUUCUUAACCCAAAACCCAAAAUCCACAAACAAAAUCCCAAAACCCAAAGUCUACAAAUAAAAUCCUAAACCCAGAGCCUACAAAUAAAAUCCCAAAACCCAAACUCCACAAAUAAGGUCCAAAUCCCAAAACCCAAAGAUCCAAAAUCCAAAGUCCAUAAAUAACACCCAACCAAAUCUACCAAACCUAUGUCCCAAACCUAGUUCUUGGGCUUGCCAAAUGGGCUCCUUAGUAUGAAUUAAUUCUAAGAAUUAAUUUCUUGGACUUUCCAACUGACCCCUUUUCAUGAAUUAAUUUUACAAAUUAAUUUCAUGGGUUUGCCAAAUAGGCCCCUCAUCACAAAUUAAUUCUAUGAAUUAAUUUCAUGGGCCCUCCUUAUCAUAAAUUAAUUUCAUGGACUAAUGGGCCCUCCAAAUGGCCCUUUAUCAUAAAUUGAUUCAAUGGGCUCUCUAAAUGGCCCCCUAUCAUGAAUUAAUUUCAUCAAUUAAUUCAAUAGACUUUAUAAAUGGGCUUUUAGCAUGAAUUAAUUUCAUGAACUAAUUUUAUGAGAUUAAACCCAAAGCCGACCGCCAUGUCAUUAAACUGAGCACCAAAAUUCAAGCCGACCGCCAUAUCGCUAAACUGAGCAACUCAAUUUGAAAUCGACCGCCAAGUCGCUAAACUAAGCAAAUCAAAUUCUGAUACGACCGUCAAGUCGUUAAACUGAGUAUUUGACCAUCAAGUCGUUAAACUGAAUAUCCGACCGCCAUGUCAUUAAACUGAGCACCAAAAUUGAACCCGACCACCAUGUCGCUAAACUGAGAAAUCCAAUUUAAAAUCGACCGCCAUGUCGCUAAACUGAGCAACUCAAUUUCAAUCGAUUGCCAAGUCGCUAAACGGAGCAAAUGAAGUUCAGAUUUGACCGUCAAGUCGUUAAACUGAACAAAUGACUGAUAAGUCAUUAAACUGAAUAUCCGACCGCUAUGUCACUAAACUGAACAUCAAAACUCAAAUCGACCGCCAUGUCAUUAAAUUGAGCAACUCAAUUUUAAAUUGACCGCCAUGUCACUAAACUGAGCAUUAAAACUCAAAUCGACCGCCAUGUCAUUAAACUGAGGAACUCAAUUUGAAAUCGACCGCCAUGUCGCUAAACUGAGCAACUCAAUUCAAAAU